UAACCCAUGUACGGUACCCACCUGUAUAUUUAUACAAAUGAAUGCGUAUACCCAACUCCGGCGGCAGCGGUUUGCCGUUAUCGCAACGUAGUAUUGUGUUCUCGGAUCCGUUCGACGGUACGGUCGUGCGCUCGCAACAAUAUCAACGGCGUAAUCAUCGGCACGGCCGGGAGGGGGGGGGAUGGAGGAGGAUGGGAGGGGUGGGGGAAAGAAUGCCGACCCCUCUCCAGACUUGGGGACAUUUAGACUGCUGAGACGGCGGUUCAACGGUAAUUGUACAGCCGACGGAAUUAGUCCGUAUUUCUUUACACAUUUUUUCAGACUCUGAACGAAACGAGGAAUGUAUCGG